CUCAAUACUGGCGGGUCCUGGGAUGCUGCGGUGCCGGGGCCGCUUCACACCCGUAUCACGACCGCGAAUCUCCGAGCUGCUCAGGUCUGCAUGGUUCUUGAGCUCUUCCCACUGCAGGAGCUUAGAAGUGACAACCUGACCCAAAAAGGUAAUGAUAACGUACACACACAAAUAAACACCCAAUACAGAAUCUGGCACUCUACGGUCCUCCCAGAGCUUGUUACUACUUUUUAGGCUGCUCUACAGGCAUUCUGACCUUUCCCCUUCAUUACCCUAUGUCUUGUCCCCUUCCUUCACCCCCUGCCUUCCCCAUUCCUUUUUCAGGCUUUCCCUUUUCUUUCUCUGCUUCCUUCCCCAUGCCUUCCCCCUACAACAGCCCCAUGUUCUGCUGCUGUUCUCAGAUGACAAUCCUUAAACCACACUUUUCAAACACAUUGGAUCAGACUGCAUACUGGCACUGAUUUUAAAACAACAACAACAACAAAUACAGUAUUAUGUAUGGAUAACAAACUCCUACCUGCUUGAAGACCAAUAGCAGCUCCUCAUCCUGCAGUAACUCCUGCACACGGCCAGGUCUCCCGUGCAGGGAUUUGGCAUCUGCAGUGGCUUCGCAACAUUGGAUUUGAGUCUUUGACUUCCACCUCAAUCUGCUCGACAGCUCCCCCCCUCAAUCUGCUCUUGUGCUCCAGAGAGAGAUCUAAGGAAUGAAGAGGUGCAGUGCAACCCAACUGGAUAACACUCUUGAAGAAUAGCAGUAUUUUCUUCAUAAAUAUUGAAUCCCAAAGUGCAACACUGGGGAAUGUUAAGUAAGAUAAGAGAAACAGAUGGGGCAAAGCAGGGAAAAUGCUCAGGAAAAGCAAGGGCAGUGUGAUGGAGAAACCAAUAACUGACUGAUCCUUGAGAGACAGCAAACUGCCAGAAAGGAGAAAGAAGGAACAUGCCAGCAGUGGAUGCGAUAGGCAGAGCCAGCAGGGCACCCCUGCUUCAAAGGACACUUUGUCUUUCAUCCCCACUGCAGCCACUCUCCUGCUUUGACUCUCCCCAGGGUCUGCAGGGUUUGUUCCAUUGCAUGCUGUACCCGCAUGGCCAGCACGUGCUACGGAGCCCAAGUGGAAC
rnacentral:lncRNA from 1 species